CUUUCGCUUUGUGAAGAAGAGUGUGUGUGAGACUAACCCCCCAGUUUUGUACCAGGAGGACAGUCAGUUGUCACGUCCUUUGCAUCCGACAUAUUUGGGGACUGUUUGUCCUGUUUGUAUUAUCACUUGGAGUUUACAUCAGAGAUCAGAGUCGGAGAAAGAGGUGGAUCCACUCAGCUGCAGUUCGAAGCAAUUGAGACAGUUCUUCGCAAGAGCCCAGAGGGAAGGGGGGUUGUACUCACAUUUUCUAUUUUAAAAAAGAUGGAGCUUUUGUCCUAUUUUGGAUUUAAGUAAAUAAAACACUUAAAGAAGGACACUUUGUGUCUGCAUGUUCUCCCUAACUUCUAUAACCCUGCACUUUGCCUUGUGGAUUAGGCUGCUGCUCUGGAUUUAAGAUGUGUAGUUUCUAGAAAACCAUGUCAUCUGAAAUACCUGCUCUUCAUUGUACGAGAGGUCCAUUUUCAGCACAAGGCCCUCCCUUUUCAUGUGUCCGUAGCUCUCCUGUUAGCCAAAGUCCUGCUUGGAGGGGCAGUGACUAAGAGCAGGGAUGUUAACCAGUUAACUGUUUUCACAUCUCUGAGAGAUGGGCAGUAUGCACUGAUUCUUAGAUGCAUCCUCCAGGAAAGACAUUUUAGUACAUGUAAAUCAAAUGUGUUCUCUCUCUGCCAGUCUGGGCUUACCUAUAAAAUGGGCAAAGUUGUGCUUAAACCCUACUCAGAGGAUCUGCUUUAUAGGGGCCACAGUAGAUUCUACUGUGGAAAGAGUUUUUCUCCAAGAGGAAAGGUGUAUAUAAAAUAUAGAUCUCUUCCUCUAGUUUCUAUAGCAGUCAGUUCCUGGGUCUGUCAAACACAGCUGUGCCGCCAUAUCCUUAGCUUCAGCUGAGAGAUCUUCAGAACUGGUUAGGAACAAAUUACAGACCAGGUUUACACAGCGUGCACCACAAAAUAGUAAUUCCACAGUAAGUGUUAAUGUCGCUCGUGGGGGAAACACACUAAAAAAUGCAAUGAAACAUACACUUUCAAUUCCCUUUCACCGUCAGUGACACGAACCUCAGAUGCAGCUAGAUUGGGGAGUUCACCUGAAAAACAAUUUGUCAGGGCUUAUUGGUCACCAAAAGGAAAAAAUCGACAUAUCAGUGUUGUAGAAUUGAGAGUCAGAAGACUAGCUUUGAAGUCCUUCCUGCUGCGAGUCAAACCCAGGUAGUAAUAGACAAUAUGAUGGCACUAUAAUAUCUGGACAAGUAAGGGGGGGAGCUUAUUCUAUAAACUGUUUGUUUCCAGGCAUUAUAUUUUGGAAAUGGCGCACAGAAUGACAUUCACACAAUACACGUUUGUGUGUGGGGUGAGAGUGGGUUUGUGGUCCGCCACCUAGUGGCCACACUCUCUGACAGUCACUCCACCCAGUUGUCAGUUUCCAGUGGUCAUGCCACCCAGUGGUUGCAGCUGCAAGGGGGGAGGGGGAGUAGGGGAACCUGGGCCUCCACUGGGUUCCAAUCCAGGGCCAUAUGAGACCUGUCCAGUACCUUGCACUUGGAGGGCCCUCAAGCCAGCCUCCCUGGGUCACUUCCUACCUCCCUUUUUCCUGCACUGAGCUGCAAGGUAUCCACAUAAGCAUCAGUUUGCCAGUUGCCUACCCAUCUCUGACCCCUAGGAGCUGCUGCUUGAUGACCUUCCUUCUCCCAGCCUCGGUCUGGCUAGGACCUGCUCCCUGCCCUGUCUGGCAAGCUGCCUGGAUGCUCGAUCAAUCCUUUUCAACCCUGCCUGCAGUUGGAGCAUGAUUGGCAAGAGGGGAGGGGCAUCACAUCCUGAGCCCAGAGUUGUUCUUUAAUCCUCUGCUGUCCAGUGAAGGGUUUGACACCCUGUUAGUGGGGGAACAAAACAUGCCUGCAGAUUAACUUGUUAGAUGCACAGAGAGUCUGGGAAGGAAAAAACAACACAGCUCUCCAGUCACGGGCAAAGCCGAAAAUACACCUGUUUGCAUCCAGCAGCAACAGGAAAGACGCAUCUUAUCACUGGCUCAGAGAUGGUCUCAUGCAAACAGAGAGAACUAGCCUGAGAUCCCACAAAGGACUGGGUGGAAAUACUUGGAUUAAAUCUUUUAAAAACGUUACCACUCUUGGUGGAGAUACAACUGUCUGCCCAUCCCCAGGAGGGUUGUGUACAGAAAUCCAGCAAGGUGAACCUGAUUGGGCUAAGUGGUCCAUCCAGAUGCUUCACUCCAAAGAUGUGCCAGAAUUUCCAUCCGCUAUGAAGUACUUUAUGGAGUUAGGCUUCCCAAGGGAGCCAGAAGAAAAUCGUGUCACUCUCACCAUGUUUGCCUUGUGACGUCUCACUGCAGCUUAACGAGAUAUUUUGUGCGGGAGAGGAGCAGGACUUCUCCACCCAGCAGUCCAGCUGUGAGAUGAAGGGCUUCCGAACUGGGUGCAGGCUCUUCCAGCCGCCUUGUGAAAGCAGGCCUGGACUUUGAGGCCAUGCCUGUGGUUGGCAGGUUGACAGGUUCAGGAAGACGGGGAACCAGAACUUCUCUGGCCAUGGUGGUGCUGUUAAUAACAGCUUGGUGGUCCUUGCCUGACUAUGCACAGCCAGGAGAAGCAGCCGGACCAGUAGGCGUGUGUACAUUGAAGUCCUCAACCAUGAGAUUAGGAAGGUGUCAGGAACAGAAACUCCUCCCUCCCGCCCCAGCAGAAGACCUGAUACUUGUAUGUUGCAAAUGGGGCCACAUGAAGAUGGCUCCGAUUUGGAAUGAUGUGCUGAAGGACCAAGUAUUUGGUUCCUCACUUUGAUUUGCUGUUGAUCUGCUGGCUGCUCUGCAAAUCAAGUGAGUGUAGGGCUGAGAGGCAGAAUCGAUGCAUAAUUCACCAGUUCCAAAAUCUGCGUCUUAGCAUAGGGCAAGAUCACACCCCACCCUGUCUGUUGAUGUAACACCUCGCAGUUGAGUGGCUCAAUAUGGAAUGUGGGUAAUCGUCUAUUAUCAUAUUGAUACCAAUAUUACAAACUUGCAAUGAAUCUUACAAGACAUGCCAUGUCAGCUAUUCGUGGGAAAGUUGUGCUUUGAUAAGGAUGAUGAUUCUAUGUGUGUGUCACCUUUGUAUUGUCGUAAGUGAUAAAUAUGUGAAAAAUGUCUGCCCUGCACACCUGUGCUGUGUUUCUAGGUGGCAGCCCCACACAGAUGGCCAAACAGACUAAUGCUGAUGCCAAUCUGCUGUACAAUGAACCUACUGAGAGAAGCCAGGGCUACACCUGGGAGUCAGCAGGAUGUGGAGAGGCAAGCCUGUGGACCGGGAAGUUGAAGAGUUUUUCCCAUGUCCACGUGCUGUGAGCCUGUGUUUGGGACAAAGGGUGUACAAGCCACAUGGAAAAGGAUAUAAAAAGGCACUUGAAUCUUCUGCAUUCUGUCUUCGGGCUACAGUGUUAACCAUCUGUUUUGGGAUGCUGCUCGUCUUUCUGCAGCCUGUCCUGACCUUGGGCUACCCUAGGCACUGUGCGUCACAGGUUGUACCAUCAGUCAUUAACUGGACAGGUUGACCUCAGGUAGAGAAAGCAUGAUUCCACACCCUUCCAAUGCUGAAGGAUCUCACUCUGGGUAUGUCUACACUACCACCCUAGUUCGAACUAG